rnacentral:rRNA from 1 species
GACGAACGCUGGCGGCGUGCUUAACACAUGCAAGUCGAACGAAGUGGCGAACGGGUGAGUAACGCGUAAUCAACCUGCCCUUCAGAGGGGGACAACAGUUGGAAACGACUGCUAAUACCGCAUAAUGAAGGAGGGGAAUGCGUCUGAUUAGCUAGUUGGAGGGGGAACGGCCAACCAAGGCGAGGAUCAGUAGCCGGUGUGGGAGGAUUCACGGCAACAUUGGGACUGGUACACGGCCCAGACUCCUACGGGAGGCAGCAGUUGGGAAUCUUCCGCAAUGGACGAAAGUCUGACGGAGCAACGCCGCGUGAGUGAUGACGGCCUUCGGGUUGUAAAGCUCUGUUAAUCGGGACGCGGUACCGGAAUAGAAAGCCACGGCUAACUACGUGCCAGCAGCCGCGGUAAUUC